ACACGACUACAUUAGAUACCCCCGUAGUCCUAGCCGUAAACGAUACUCGCUAGGUGUCGGCCACGGUGCGACCGUUGUCGGUGCCGUAGGGAAGCCGUGAAGCGAGCCACCUGGGAAGUACGGCCGCAAGGCUGAAACUUAAAGGAAUUGGCGGGGAGCACAACAACGGGUGGAGCUUGCGGUUUAAUUGGAUUCAACGCCGGAAAUCUUACCGGGACCGACAGCAACAUGAAGGCCAAGCUGAAGACUUUGCCGGAUUAGCUG
rnacentral:rRNA from 1 species